ACCCCGGGGGUUGGGGGUGGUUGCGAAUAUGGGUGGAAGGAGACAGCUUGACUCUUUCCUAGAAUGGAAAAAGAGGAAUCGAGAUGACUUGUAGUCUUUUCUUCCACUUCUACAGGAAGAAGGUUUCAAGGACCAUGUCGCACAAAUCCUAUAUAAGCUGUGGCGAGGCGAGGACAUCCCUGAGGAGCUGCACUUCAUUUAAGAGGACCCUGCACGACACCCAGACCCACUGCGCCCGUGUGUUUACUACUCUCGCCAGUUGAUCCCUGCAGAGCGUCAUUAUACCACUUGGGAGCGGGAGUUGCUGGCCGUCAAGGGGGCAUUUGAAGUCUGGCGAGGCCACCUGGAGGAAGUGCGUCACCUGGUGCAAGUCUGAACUGACCACUGAAACCUGGAACACCUACAGUCAGUACGCCAGUUCAAUGAGAGGCAGAUCUGGUGGUUGCUCUUUUUCUUUCGGUUUAAUUUUGUGAUCCGAUAUAUUCCCAGCACCCAGAACAAGCGAGCAGACGCCUUAUCCCGAAAGCCUGAGCACUGAACGACCACCAUGCUGGAAGAUACCGAGACCCUGAUCCUGCCGCCCGAGGCCUUUGCUGCUUCAACCAUCUGACCCUCGCUCCUGGAGCGAAUGCGGGAACAACUCCAUGACCCUUGGGUCCAAAAGAAGCUUUGGGACCUGAAGGGCACACCUACAGCUAAGACCGACUUCGCCCAGUGCAAAGGGGUCCUCACUCACCGCGCAUGCCAUCGACCCUGCUGUAACCUGAUGUCUCUUCCUGGCAGCUCAGGCCGGAACACGUCGCGUCCAGCUGACAAUUGCGGGAGCAACACAGCACUCUCUUCUGCAGGAGAUGGGAAAUGCAGCUGGGUCAGCGUUGGCUGAUUUGAGUCAGCAAAACCAGGCAUUGCAAAUGCAGAUAAAGGAACUAUCCCAAGUUGCCUCGCACCUGCAGCAGCAACUGGCUGCCGUGGCUGUAGCAUCCGCUGCCCCACCUCCCGGGACGUGU